GGGUUGUGAGGUUAAGCGACUAAGCGUACACGGUGGAUGCCCUGGCAGUCAGAGGCGAUGAAGGGCGUGCUAAUCUGCGAUAAGCGCCGGUAAGGUGAUAUGAACCGUUAUAACCGGCGAUACCCGAAUGGGGAAACCCAGUGUGACUCGUCACACUAUCAUUAACUGAAUCCAUAGGUUAAUGAGGCGAACCGGGGGAACUGAAACAUCUAAGUACCCCGAGGAAAAGAAAUCAACCGAGAUUCCCCCAGUAGCGGCGAGCGAACGGGGAGGAGCCCAGAGCCUGAAUCAGCAUGUGUGUUAGUGGAAGCGUCUGGAAAGGCGCGCGAUACAGGGUGACAGCCCCGUACACAAAAGCGCAUGUGCUGUGAGCUCGAUGAGUAGGGCGGGACACGUGGUAUCCUGUCUGAAUAUGGGGGGACCAUCCUCCAAGGCUAAAUACUCCUGACUGACCGAUAGUGAACCAGUACCGUGAGGGAAAGGCGAAAAGAACCCCGGCGAGGGGAGUGAAAAAGAACCUGAAACCGUGUACGUACAAGCAGUGGGAGCCCCACCACCAAAGCAUUCUCUGGUGUUGAAGGCCCUGCAAAGCAGCAUCGCGGUGGCGGAGCGUCGUUUGCGACGCCCAACACACAAAACAAGCGGUGAAUGCUUUGGGGUGGGGUGACUGCGUACCUUUUGUAUAAUGGGUCAGCGACUUAUAUUCUGUAGCAAGGUUAACCGAAUAGGGGAGCCGGAGGGAAACCGAGUCUUAAUUGGGCGUUAAGUUGCAGGGUAUAGACCCGAAACCCGGUGAUCUAGCCAUGGGCAGGUUGAAGGUUGGGUAACACUAACUGGAGGACCGAACCGACUAAUGUUGAAAAAUUAGCGGAUGACCUGUGGCUGGGGGUGAAAGGCCAAUCAAACCGGGAGAUAGCUGGUUCUCCCCGAAAGCUAUUUAGGUAGCGCCUCGUGAAUUCAUCUCCGGGGGUAGAGCACUGUUUCGGCUAGGGGGCCAUCCCGGCUUACCAACCCGAUGCAAACUGCGAAUACCGGAGAAUGUUAUCACGGGAGACACACGGCGGGUGCUAACGUCCGUCGUGAAGAGGGAAACAACCCAGACCGCCAGCUAAGGUCCCAAAGUCAUGGUUAAGUGGGAAACGAUGUGGGAAGGCCCAGACAGCCAGGAUGUUGGCUUAGAAGCAGCCAUCAUUUAAAGAAAGCGUAAUAGCUCACUGGUCGAGUCGGCCUGCGCGGAAGAUGUAACGGGGCUAAACCAUGCACCGAAGCUGCGGCAGCGAACGUAUCACCCAAGACAACUUUACGGAGUUGACGAUUGACGGAGCGAAGCGACGUCAAAGCGUUCAUUAAAGUCGAGUUGGCUUAGGGAUACGUUCGUUGGGUAGGGGAGCGUUCUGUAAGCCUGUGAAGGUGUGUCGUGAGGCAUGCUGGAGGUAUCAGAAGUGCGAAUGCUGACAUAAGUAACGAUAAAGCGGGUGAAAAGCCCGCUCGCCGGAAGACCAAGGGUUCCUGUCCAACGUUAAUCGGGGCAGGGUGAGUCGACCCCUAAGGCGAGGCCGAAAGGCGUAGUCGAUGGGAAACGGGUUAAUAUUCCCGUACUUGGUGUUACUGCGAAGGGGGGACGGAGAAGGCUAUGUUGGCCGGGCGACGGUUGUCCCGGUUUAAGCGUGUAGGUGUGUGUUCCAGGUAAAUCCGGUUCACUUUAACACUGAGGCGUGACGACGAGGCACUACGGUGCUGAAGCAACAAAUGCCCUGCUUCCAGGAAAAGCCUCUAAGCAUCAGGUAACACGAAAUCGUACCCCAAACCGACACAGGUGGUCAGGUAGAGAAUACCAAGGCGCUUGAGAGAACUCGGGUGAAGGAACUAGGCAAAAUGGUGCCGUAACUUCGGGAGAAGGCACGCUGACACGUAGGUGAAGUGAUUUACUCAUGGAGCUGAAGUCAGUCGAAGAUACCAGCUGGCUGCAACUGUUUAUUAAAAACACAGCACUGUGCAAACACGAAAGUGGACGUAUACGGUGUGACGCCUGCCCGGUGCCGGAAGGUUAAUUGAUGGGGUCAGCGCAAGCGAAGCUCCUGAUCGAAGCCCCGGUAAACGGCGGCCGUAACUAUAACGGUCCUAAGGUAGCGAAAUUCCUUGUCGGGUAAGUUCCGACCUGCACGAAUGGCGUAAUGAUGGCCAGGCUGUCUCCACCCGAGACUCAGUGAAAUUGAACUCGCUGUGAAGAUGCAGUGUACCCGCGGCAAGACGGAAAGACCCCGUGAACCUUUACUAUAGCUUGACACUGAACAUUGAGCCUUGAUGUGUAGGAUAGGUGGGAGGCUUUGAAGUGUGGACGCCAGUCUGCAUGGAGCCGACCUUGAAAUACCACCCUUUAAUGUUUGAUGUUCUAACGUGGACCCGUAAUCCGGGUUGCGGACAGUGUCUGGUGGGUAGUUUGACUGGGGCGGUCUCCUCCUAAAGAGUAACGGAGGAGCACGAAGGUUGGCUAAUCCUGGUCGGACAUCAGGAGGUUAGUGCAAUGGCAUAAGCCAGCUUGACUGCGAGCGUGACGGCGCGAGCAGGUGCGAAAGCAGGUCAUAGUGAUCCGGUGGUUCUGAAUGGAAGGGCCAUCGCUCAACGGAUAAAAGGUACUCCGGGGAUAACAGGCUGAUACCGCCCAAGAGUUCAUAUCGACGGCGGUGUUUGGCACCUCGAUGUCGGCUCAUCACAUCCUGGGGCUGAAGUAGGUCCCAAGGGUAUGGCUGUUCGCCAUUUAAAGUGGUACGCGAGCUGGGUUUAGAACGUCGUGAGACAGUUCGGUCCCUAUCUGCCGUGGGCGCUGGAGAACUGAGGGGGGCUGCUCCUAGUACGAGAGGACCGGAGUGGACGCAUCACUGGUGUUCGGGUUGUCAUGCCAAUGGCACUGCCCGGUAGCUAAAUGCGGAAGAGAUAAGUGCUGAAAGCAUCUAAGCACGAAACUUGCCCCGAGAUGAGUUCUCCCUGAGACUUUAGGUCUCCUGAAGGAACGUUGAAGACGACGACGUUGAUAGGCCGGGUGUGUAAGCGCAGCGAUGCGUUGAGCUAACCGGUACUAAUGAACCGUGAGGCUUAACCUUACAACGCCGAAG
rnacentral:rRNA from 1 species